UGAGCUUUUCCAUACAGUCAGCAUUAGGGUUUUAAACUCUAAACUGAAUUUUUCCUUUAGUCAGCAUUAGGGUUUUAAACCCUAAACUGAACUUUUUUCCAUUCAGCCAGCAUUAGGGUUUUAAACCCUAAACUGAGCUUUUUCUUUCAGUCAGCACUAGGGUUUUAAACCCUAAACUGAAUUUUUCCUUUAGUCAGCAUUAGGGUUUUAAGCCCUAAACUGAACUUUUUUCCAUUCAGCCAGCAUUAGGGUUUUAAACCCUAAACUGAGCUUUUCCAUACAGUCAGCAUUAGGGUUUUUAACCCUAAACUGAAUUUUUCCUUUAGUCAGCAUUAGGGUUUUAAACCGUAAACUGAACUUUUUUCCAUUCAGCCAGCAUUAGGGUUUUAAACCCUAAACUGAGCUUUUCCAUGCAGUCAGCAUUAGGGUUUUAAACCCUAAACUGAAUUUUUCCUUUAGUCAGCAUUAGGGUUUUAAACCCUAAACUGAACUUUUUUCCAUUCAGCCAGCAUUAGGGUUUUAAACCCUAAACUGAGCUUUUCCAUGCAAUCAGCAUUAAGGUUUUUAACCCUAAACUGAACUUUUUUCCAUUCAGCCAGCAUUAGGGUUUUAAACCCUAAACUAAGCUUUUCCAUGCAAUCAGCAUUAGGGUUUUAAACCCUAAAUUGAACUCUUUCCUUU
rnacentral:lncRNA from 1 species